CUGGCGGCGGCCUAACACAUGAAAAGUCGAACGCGUGCCUUCGGGCACGAGUGGCGGACGGGUGAGUAACGCGUGGGAAUUUGCCUUGGGGUACGGAAUAACCGCGGGAAACUGCGGCUAAUACCGUAUACGUCCUUCGGGAGAAAGAUUUAUCGCCCUGAGAUGAGCCCGCGUCCGAUUAGGUAGUUGGUGAGGUAACGGCUCACCAAGCCUUCGAUCGGUAGCUGGUCUGAGAGGAUGAUCAGCCACACUGGGACUGAGACACGGCCCAGACUCCUACGGGAGGCAGCAGUGGGGAAUAUUGGACAAUGGGGGAAACCCUGAUCCAGCCAUGCCGCGUGAGUGAAGAAGGCCUUAGGGUUGUAAAGCUCUUUCGGUGGUGACGAUGAUGACGGUAGCCACAGAAGAAGCCCCGGCUAACUCCGUGCCAGCAGCCGCGGUAAUACGGAGGGGGCAAGCGUUGUUCGGAAUUACUGGGCGUAAAGGGCGCGUAGGCGGAUGAUCAAGUCAGAGGUGAAAGCCCUGGGCUCAACCUAGGAGGUGCCUUUGAAACUGAUUGUCUUGAGUACGGGGAGAGGAUAGCGGGAAUUCCCAGUGUAGAGGUGAAAAUUCGUAGCAUAUUGGGGAAGAACACCAGUGGCGAAGGCGGCUAUCUUGGCCCC
rnacentral:rRNA from 1 species